AAUUUCAUUGGUCGUAAACAUUUUAUAAAUGCAACAAAUUUCAGAGGUCGUAAACAUUUUAUAAAUGUUCGCCUUUGAUAAUGCUUUUGAAAAGAUGGCUAUGGAAAUAGUGAUUUUACAAAGAUGUGUGGCUAUAAAGGUACCUACAUUUCAUUUGGCGCCCCUUGAAUAUCUGCAACCCGUGACAAACUAUCCCGGUCCCCCCCCCCUCUCUCUGAUUGUCAUAAACAAGAAGUAUGAAACAAUAAGAAGAACACCUGUUGGAUUAAGAAGAGCAUUUGUUGAAUGAACUGAUUAAAAAAACAAUAAAUAUAAUGACAAUCGAGGCAAAUUAUUAUUAUUUAUUAUUAGUUACAAAAGUACGUAUAACUUCAUUUUAUAAAGUUGCAAUAAAACAGGAAAUAAUCAAAUAUUUAUAAAUCAUAAACUGUAUUUUUUAUGAACAUGUUAAGUACUUGUUGAAAUUUUUUGAA